GAUGAACGCUGGCGGCGUGUCUAAUACAUGCAAGUCGAACGAGUUCUCGUUGAUGAUCGGUGCUUGCACCGAGAUUCAACAUGGAACGAGUGGCGGACGGGUGAGUAACACGUGGGUAACCUGCCCUUAAGUGGGGGAUAACAUUUGGAAACAGAUGCUAAUACCGCAUAGAUCCAAGAACCGCAUGGUUCUUGGCUGAAAGAUGGCGUAAUCUAUCGCUUUUGGAUGGACCCGCGGCGUAUUAGCUAGUUGGUGAGGUAACGGCUCACCAAGGCGAUGAUACGUAGCCGAACUGAGAGGUUGAUCGGCCACAUUGGGACUGAGACACGGCCCAAACUCCUACGGGAGGCAGCAGUAGGGAAUCUUCCACAAUGGACGCAAGUCUGAUGGAGCAACGCCGCGUGAGUGAAGAAGGCUUUCGGGUCGUAAAACUCUGUUGUUGGAGAAGAAUGGUCGGCAGAGUAACUGUUGUCGGCGUGACGGUAUCCAACCAGAAAGCCACGGCUAACUACGUGCCAGCAGCCGCGGUAAUACGUAGGUGGCAAGCGUUAUCCGGAUUUAUUGGGCGUAAAGCGAGCGCAGGCGGUUUUUUAAGUCUGAUGUGAAAGCCCUCAGCUUAACCGAGGAAGCGCAUCGGAAACUGGGAAACUUGAGUGCAGAAGAGGACAGUGGAACUCCAUGUGUAGCGGUGAAAUGCGUAGAUAUAUGGAAGAACACCAGUGGCGAAGGCGGCUGUCUGGUCUGUAACUGACGCUGAGGCUCGAAAGCAUGGGUAGCGAACAGGAUUAGAUACCCUGGUAGUCCAUGCCGUAAACGAUGAAUGCUAGGGUUGGAGGGUUUCCGCCCUUCAGUGCCGCAGCUAACGCAUUAAGCAUUCCGCCUGGGGAGUACGACCGCAAGGUUGAAACUCAAAGGAAUUGACGGGGGCCCGCACAAGCGGUGAGCAUGUGGUUUAAUUCGAAGCAACGCGAAGAACCUUACCAGGUCUUGACAUCUUUUGAUCACCUGAGAGAUCAGGUUUCCCCUUCGGGGGCAAAAUGACAGGUGGUGCAUGGUUGUCGUCAGCUCGUGUCGUGAGAUGUUGGGUUAAGUCCCGCAACGAGCGCAACCCUUAUGACUAGUUGCCGGCAUUUAGUUGGGCACUCUAGUAAGACUGCCGGUGACAAACCGGAGGAAGGUGGGGAUGACGUCAAAUCAUCAUGCCCCUUAUGACCUGGGCUACACACGUGCUACAAUGGAUGGUACAACGAGUUGCGAGACCGCGAGGUCAAGCUGAUCUCUUAAAGCCAUUCUCAGUUCGGACUGUAGGCUGCAACUCGCCUACACGAAGUCGGAAUCGCUAGUAAUCGCGGAUCAGCACGCCGCGGUGAAUACGUUCCCGGGCCUUGUACACACCGCCCGUCACACCAUGAGAGUUUGUAACACCCGAAGCCGGUGGCGUAACCCUUUUAGGGAGCGAGCCGUCUAAGGUGGGACAAAUGAUUAGGGUG
rnacentral:rRNA from 1 species